rnacentral:rRNA from 1 species
UGGAUCCAGACUUUGAUUAUGGCUCAGGAUGAACGCUAGCUACAGGCUUAACACAUACAAGUCGAGGGGAAACGACAUCGAAAGCUUGCUUUUGAUGGGUGUCGACCGGCGCACGGGUGAGUAACGCGUAUCCAACCUGCCCAUCACUUGGGAAUAACCUUGCGAAAGUAAGACUAAUACCCAAUGAUAUCCCACGAAGGCAUCCGAAUGGGAUUAAAGAUUUAUCGGUGAUGGAUGGGGAUGCGUCUGAUUAGCUUGUUGGCGGGGUAACGGCCCACCAAGGCAACGAUCAGUAGGGGUUCUGAGAGGAAGGUCCCCCACAUUGGAACUGAGACACGGUCCAAACUCCUACGGGAGGCAGCAGUGAGGAAUAUUGGUCAAUGGGCGAGAGCCUGAACCAGCCAAGUAGCGUGCAGGACGACGGCCCUAUGGGUUGUAAACUGCUUUUAUAAGGGAAUAAAGUGAGUCUCGUGAGACUUUUUGCAUGUACCUUAUGAAUAAGGACCGGCUAAUUCCGUGCCAGCAGCCGCGGUAAUACGGAAGGUCCGGGCGUUAUCCGGAUUUAUUGGGUUUAAAGGGAGCGUAGGCUGGAGAUUAAGCGAGUUGUGAAAUGUAGAGGCUCAACCUCUGCACUGCAGCGCGAACUGGUCUUCUUGAGUACGCACAACGUGGGCGGAAUUCGUGGUGUAGCGGUGAAAUGCUUAGAUAUCACGAAGAACUCCGAUUGCGAAGGCAGCUCACGGGAGCGCAACUGACGCUGAAGCUCGAAAGUGCGGGUAUCGAACAGGAUUAGAUACCCUGGUAGUCCGCACGGUAAACGAUGGAUGCCCGCUGUUGGCCUGAAUAGGUCAGCGGCCAAGCGAAAGCAUUAAGCAUCCCACCUGGGGAGUACGCCGGCAACGGUGCAACUCAAAGGAAUUGACGGA